rnacentral:rRNA from 1 species
GGCCCAGGCCGGAGGCGGCAGUUCCCAGCGCGGGGGCCGACAGGAAGGUGCCGAUUCGGAUCUGCGGGGCUGACAACGCGCCUGGCGCCGACGGGGAACGCGGGAGGGCAGCAGCUCACGGACGAGGAGGCCCCCGCGGCGUGGGGGGGCCUCGAGGCCGGCGCGGGCGGCGGGAGGGGGGACUCGCCGUACCAGGGCUAUGAGGUGCAGCGUCUGGCGAGGUGGGUGGACCACGCGCUGCCCUUCUCCCUGCUCCUCCUCGGCGUCUUCAUCCGCCAGCACCUGCAAGGUUUCUUCGUAAUGAUUUGGAUUACCGCAGUCAUGUUCAAGUCCAAUGAUAUCUUGCGCAAGCAGACCGCUCUUAAGGCUACAAGGUUGGGGGAGCGACCCUGCCAUUGUCAUGACGGCUGCUCCUUCUGGCCGGAUCGAGGCAUGAAGACCUGUGGGAUCCCCUCCUUCGGCAGGACCUCCUCAUCUGUCCUGAUGAGUGUUCAACGGAGGACUGCAUGUGAUGAGUUAAGGCACAAGAAGAUCUACGACCAUUUUAGCUCCAGCAGUUAG